ACUCAGCAGCUGUCCUCCUGGUGACACAGAGUUCUUUCCAGAGGGACAACCUUCCCGGGGGUGGGGGGCAGGGUCCAGGGGACAGCCUGUUGGCUGGCUGACCCCGCAAGACCAUACCCGCUGUCAGCACUCUGGCUGUGACCCGGAACGAGCCCAGCCCUAAGCAGUGAGGUUCAGAACCACAGAUCUGGGACAAAGAGCAACCAGUAGUCAAUGGCCACCAAGACCAUGUGCUUGAGCAGCUGGGAGAAGACGAGCAGCGAGAGGAGCAGGAUGCCGGCGGAGGACAGGUACUUGGCGCAGGCCCGCCAGGGGAUCUUGGCGCGCUGGUGCAGCACCGACGACAGGUUGUCCUCCUCCUCACUCUCGGCUGCCUCCUCUGCAGGCGAGCUGUUGAUCUGGGAGGAUGGAAGCCUGAGACUACCAGGGGCCCUCACUGCAACCUUGAGAACGAAGCCACUGUGAGGGGGGCAGAGCCCAUGGAUGGGGAGAAACAGAUUCCUGAUGGCACUGCUCGUCUGCCUGGAUCCAUUUCCAUCUGAAGCUAUGGCAUCGCUAGACUCGCCAAUUUCAUGAGCCAAUAAAUCCUUA